rnacentral:sRNA from 1 species
CUGUGAGUCUAUCCUCAGUUCCCCCACAGCCCCAGAAGGCCUGGGAGGGGGUGCUCAGCUGCCACGGAGGCAGCUUUAGCAUCCAGGCCUACGCUGACCGUACACCCCUCCCAGCCGCCAUCCUGAAUGCCUCCUCCCGUGGCUUUGUCCUCCAUGGCCUGGAGCCCGCCAGUCUGUAUCACAUCCACCUCAUGGCUGCCAGCCAGGCCGGGGCCACCAACAGUACAGUCCUCACCCUGAUGACCUUGACUCCAGAGGGGUCGGAGCUACACAUCCUCCUGGGCCUGUUCGGCCUCCUGCUCUUGCUCACCUGCCUCUGUGGAACUGCCUGGCUCUGCUGCAGCCCCAACAGGAAGAAUCCCCUCUGGCCAAGUGUCCCAGACCCAGCUCACAGCAGCCUGGGGUCCUGGGUGCCCACAAUCAUGGAGGAGGAUGCCUUCCAGCUGCCCGGCCUUGGCACGCCACCCAUCACCAAGCUCACAGUGCUGGAGGAGGACAAGAAGAAGCCGGUGCCCUGGGAAUCCCAUAACAGCUCAGAGACCUGUGGCCUCCCCACUCUGGUCCAAACCUAUGUGCUCCAGGGGGACCCAAGAGCAGCUUCCACCCAGCCCCAAUCCCAGUCUGGCACCAGCGAUCAGGUCCUUUAUGGGCAGCUGCUGGGCAGCCCCACAAGCCCA